UGAGCAAUCUGCCCUUCUCAUCGGAAUAAGCGUUGGAAACGACGUCUAAUGCCGAAUACGACCUCCUUUCGCAUGAUCGGAGGUGGAAAGCUCCGGCGGAGAAGGAUGAGCUCGCGGCCUAUCAGCUAGUUGGUGUGGGUAAUGGCCCACCAAGGCGACGACGGGUAGCCGGCCUGAGAGGGUGACCCGGCCACACGUGGGACUGAGACACCGGCCCAGACCUCCGUACGGGAGCAG
rnacentral:rRNA from 1 species